rnacentral:sRNA from 1 species
UAGUUGCUGGACCAUUUGCGUAAGUUC